GAUGAACGCUAGCUACAGGCUUAACACAUGCAAGUCGAGGGGUAACGAGAGGAAAGCUUGCUUUCCUUGUCGACGACCGGCGCACGGGUGAGUAACGCGUAUCCAACCUGCCCCCAACUAGGGAAUAACCUUGCGAAAGUAAGACUAAUACCCUAUAAUUUCCUCAGAUGUCAUCUGACGAGGAAUAAAGAUUUAUCGGUUGUGGAUGGGGAUGCGUCUGAUUAGCUUGUUGGCGGGGUAACGGCCCACCAAGGCAACGAUCAGUAGGGGUUCUGAGAGGAAGGUCCCCCCAAUUGGAAUUGAGACACGGGCCAAACGCCCACGGGAGGCAGCAGUGAGGAAUAUUGGUCAAUGGGCGGAAGCCUGAACCAGCCAAGUAGCGUGCAGGAUGACGGCCCUAUGGGUUGUAAACUGCUUUUAUACAGGAAUAAAGUUAGCCACGUGUGGUUAUUUGUAGGUACUGUAUGAAUAAGGACCGGCUAAUUCCGUGCCAGCAGCCGCCGUAA
rnacentral:rRNA from 1 species